GUAAGUGAACAAUGACACACACUGUUAUUACGUGUGUGCUCUCCGUCCUCUGCUAUGGACGGAAUCUCCGUUUGGUUGUUACUGCGCCAUCACGCACAAGUGCGCACAGGCCUCAGCCUGUACUCCGAGAUGGAUUGAAUCUCCGGUUGUUAUUAUUAUUAUUGCAUUAUUAGGCCGAAUUAUUGAACAAUAUCGGUGCAUCAGCUUAGUUUGUGAGCUUCAUCCGUGAUUACAAACACACAAGUUAACCAAUUUACGUGAUAGUGCCGUCAAAUGCCUGUAUGUGAUCUGAUCUUUAAUUCAUCAAGUUAAACAAGCAGAGUCAAAUAUGACCAAACCCAAGGACAUUGGGGAGUGUCCCCUCUGUGGGAAGAUCAUCCACACUGUCGUGAGGCACCUCAGGGAGGUCCAUUUGCUAAAGAACACGCAGGAGAGACUGAUCCUCAACCACCUGGCGACAGGCAGGACUUUGAUCCCCGCCGGACCCUGCCCCCUUCCCCUUCCCGGGUGUUCUUCACAUCUGUUAAACCUGGAGAAGCAUCUGCAGUCGCAGCACAGCAACCUGAGUGGCCAAAGUGUGGAUCGGGAGAUCAAGGCCCUCAAGCGAGUUGCAGCUCUUAGCAAGCUGGCGGCCUUGAGGGCCACUUCUCCCGAUCCACCUAUGGUCAGCGUGCUGGACCUGGAACAGCACCAGGCGGAGCAGACUGACCCGGAGGCGGGAGUGAUCAUGUGCCAGAAGCGCACAUGCGUCAAUGCCCGCCUCCGGGUCCGCGAGCUGGAGCGAGAGGUAGCAGACGUUCGUGCCAGUCUGACCCAGUUCCAGGCCCUGGCCUGGCCUCAGCGCCGACCUCGACAGGCAGCCCCAGCCCCAUCCCGAGCCCCAGCCCCAGCCCCAGCCCCGGAGGAGGAGGAGGAGGAGGAGGAGGAGGAGGAGGAGCCUUCGUCCCCAGAGCAGGAAGCCCCGCCCAGAGCCCCAGCCCCAGCCCCAAUACCGGCCCCGGAGGAGGAGGAGGAUGAGGAGGAGGAGGAGGAGCCUUCAUCCCCAGAGCAGGAAGCCCCGCCCACAGCCGCCACGGAGGAGGAGGAAGCCCCACAGCCGCCACGGAGCCGCCCACAGCCGCCCACAGCCGCCACGGAGGAGGAGGAAGCCCCGGCCCCGGCCCCGGCCACAGCCACCAAGGAGGAGGAGGAGGAGGAGGAGGAGCAGCAGCAGGAGAAGCACACCCGGAAAGCGGUCCGUAGAAAACUGCCAUUUGGCACUCUUGGGAAAAAAAGCAAGAUGUCAAAUGAAGCUGCUGCUGCUGCUGAGGAGGAGGAGGAGGAGGAGGAGGAGGAAGAGGAGGAUGGAGGAGGAGGAGGCACCAGGGAUGUGUCGGCCUCACGGGUGUUGAUGUCCCUGCUCAAAUGGAAGAGCAGGGGCUCAACAAUUAGGAAAAUUACGUUUGGGACCUCCAUGGACACUUACCUGGAGGAGUACGGGGCCUACCUUUUCUGCCCGGAAGGGACCCCCAAAAUGGUUCAAAACAGCGUGUCGAAGGCCAGCCGAGCAAAGGUGUUCCUGAAAUACCUGACGCUCGGCUGGCCUUCGAUCAAAUAUUGGAGUUGGGAGUUUUUGUUCAACAUCCCCCUCAUAAAGACCUACCCUGCUGCCCUGAGAGCGGCUGGCCUGGCCCCGACAACCAUCGUGUUAUACGUGGGCCAGGCCAUCUCCUUUUUGGAAUAUUUCCGGGACACCCCAGCUAAAUACUCCCGGGUGACCAACGGCCAGCUGGUCAUGGUCACCCGGGAGUUAAGGAAGCUAUUGAAGGACUUGAACCGGAACGUCCUUGGCCACCAGUCCCUGGUGAAACAGGGCAAACUAUUGAGACUGGUGGCCAAGGAGGACCUGGCCAAGUGCCAGGUGAUGGCCAAAGAAAAGAUCCCCUCUCUCCUCGCGGACAUGAAAGCGGCGCCCCCCAGGGACCCAAAGACCCGGUACCGGUUCUUUGGGUACCUGGUGGCCUACCUUUCCUCAAUCUACGGGCACAGGUCGGGGGUGCUGACCCGGAUGAGGGUCAGGGAGGUGCAGGACGCGAUCGGGGACGAGGACAAGGGCUACCUCAUUAAUGUCAUGGAGCACAAGACGGUGCGUAAAUUUGGGGUGGCCCAGGUGUACCUCGAGGCCGGCGAGUACGCCUGGUGCCGGGAGUGGCUCCGCCUGCGGCUGCGCUCCGUGCCACAAAACAAGUUUUUUUUUACGUCCUUCGGCAAGGGGGAGCCGAAGGACCUGAUUAAAUAUUUUCGACGAGCUUGGGGGGAGAUGGGCCUCCCCGGCUCCCCGAGUCUAAUGGACAUCAGGUCGGCCGUGGCCACAUACAACUUUGAGACCAACGACGCCGAGGUACGCAGGAGCCUAGGGGACUUCAUGUGCCACGACAUCAGGACCCAGGAGCGCUUCUACGCGCUCCAUAAGAACCUUUCAAGGGCGAAGCAGAUGAGGGACCUCUUCGUCCGCCUUGCGCAGCGAGAGCCCUCAUCUGCUUCCUCCUCCUCCGAUCCUGCUGCAGGCUCCUCCUCCUCCUCCGCUCCUGCUGCAGGCUCCUCCUCCUCCGCUCCUCACGCAGGCUGCUCCUCCUCCUCCGCUCCUGCUGCAGGCUGCUCCUCCUCCUCCUCUGCUCCUGCUGCAGGCUCCUCCUCCUCCCCCGCUGCUCCUGGCUCCGUGAGGAGGAGGCUUCGGCCAUCUGCCACGCAGAGGAUGGCCCAGAGGGUGAAGGAGAAAAGGGGGAUUUCUCCAAAAAAGAGUUGCCGCGUGUUCAUCAAGAGACUGUGAACCCUUCCUGACCCCAGUUCACUUGCCUGUUCACUUGUAUAUACUGUAGUAGUUCAUUUGUUCAUCUUGUUUCAUGUUCAUGUUCAUGUUGUUGUUUCAUUUGUUCAUAUUUAUUUAUGUUCUGUUCUGUUCUUUUUUCUAAUAAGUAAAACAUUUGCAAACUGG
ensembl:lncRNA